UUGGUGACUUGUAUGAAGGAUUGGAUGAGAUAUAAUCUGUCUCUUAAUUAUAAAAUAGAAUUUAAUUUUUUAAUUAAAAAGUUAAAAUAUGUUAAAAAGACGAGAAGACCCUAUAGAGUUUUAUAAUUUAAGAUAAUUAAGAUUAUUUAUAAAAUAAAAAUUGAAAUUAUUUUAUUUAUUUUGUUGGGGUGACAGAAAAAUAUAAAAAACUUUUUAUAUAGAAAAACAUUGAUAAAUGAUUAGAUGAUCCAAUAUUAUUGAUUAUAAGAAAAAAUUACCUUAGGGAUAACAGCGUAAUUUUUUUUUUUAGUUCACAUAAAAAAAAGAGUUUGCGACCUCGAUGUUGGAUUAAGAUAAAAUUUAAAUGCAGAAG
rnacentral:rRNA from 1 species